GCUUCUUUAGCUCAGUUGGUAGAGCGAUCGCCUUGUAAGCGAUAAGUCGUCUGUUCGAUUCAGACAAGGAGCU
rnacentral:tRNA from 1 species